rnacentral:rRNA from 1 species
GGGUCUGUCCAUUGGUCGGGCUUUACGGUCCGUACUGGUGAGAUGGGUUCCUACCUUCUGAAUAACCAGCAUGCCAUUCAGUUGGUGCGUUGGGGAAGCAGAGCUAUUACCUUGAAAAAAUUAGAGUGUUUAAAGCAGGCUCACGCUUGAAUACAUUAGCAUGGAAUAAUAGAAUAGGAC